GAAGCAUUCCAGCACGACCAAAAUGAAGGAAUUGGACUUCAGUGUCUGAGGAGUCUGAAGGAUGAAGAUGAUUUGUACACUGAAGUCCACUAUAAACAACUGUGAAGGACACAUGAUAUGACUUAUUGCAGUGGUCCCCAGUUGGAGACCCGGAGUGACAAUGACACCAGCCAGAGCACAAAACAGUUCCUUGAACAGAACUUGCUGGCCAAUUGCAGGAUGAAGAUAAGGAUGUGUGCUACGCUGCACUGGAAAUCCCUACCAAAGAGCGCAGACAGAGACCCAAGAAAAAGAGAACUGAGAAUCCUGACC